GAUGAAGAACGCAGCGAAAUGCGAUAAGUAGUGUGAAUUGCAGAAUUCAGUGAAUCAUCGAAUCUUUGAACGCACAUUGUGCCCCUUGGUAUUCCAUGGGGCAUGCCUGUUCGAGCGUCAUCUACACCCUCAAGCUCUGCUUGGUGUUGGGCGUCUGUCCCGCCUUUGCGCGUGGACUCGCCCCAAAUUCAUUGGCAGCGGUCCUUGCCUCCUCUCGCGCAGCACAUUUGCGCUUCUCGAGGUGCGCGGGCCGCGUCCACGAAGCAACUAUUACCGUCUUUGACCUCGGAUCAGGUAGGGAUACCCGCUGAACUUAAGCAUAUCAAUAAGCGGAGGA
rnacentral:misc_RNA from 1 species